AAUGACUCUCGGCAAUGGAUAUCUUGGCUCUUGCAUCGAUGAAGAACGUAGUGAAAUGCGAUACUUGGUGUGAAUUGCAGAAUCUCGUGAACCAUUGAGUCUUUGAACGCAAGUUGUGCCCGAGGCCUUGCGGUCGAGGGCACGCCUGCUUGGGCGUCAUCGC
rnacentral:rRNA from 1 species